rnacentral:rRNA from 1 species
GUCUCUGCUCUUCGGGGCAGAGCGCAGUUAUUAGACCAAAACCAGCCGUAUUCUUCGGGGUACGCUCUUUUGGUGACUCUGGAUAACCUUCAGCCGAUCGCAUGGCCUCGUGCCGGCGACGUAUCUUUCAAGUGUCUGCCCUAUCAACUUUCGAUGGUGCGGGAUAUGCCUACCAUGGUGAUAACGGGUAACGGGGAAUCAGGGUUCGAUUCCGGAGAGGGAGCCUGAGAAAUGGCUACCACAUCCAAGGAUGGCAGCAGGCGCGCAAAUUACCCACUCCCAGCUUGGGGAGGUAGUGACGAAAAAUAACAAUGCGGGACUCUAAGAGGCCCCGUAAUUGGAAUGAGUACACCUUAAAUCGUUUAACGAGUAUCAAUUGGAGGGCAAGUCUGGUGCCAGCAGCCGCGGUAAUUCCAGCUCCAAUAGCGUAUAUUAAAGUUGCUGCAGUUAAAAAGCUCGUAGUUGGAUCUGGGGCUUGAGGUCGCUGUCUAUCGUUUCGGCGAUGACGGUGAUGCUCAGCUCUGCUUGCCGGUGACUGUUGCGGUGUUCUUCACUGAGCGCUGUAGCAGCACGGCACGUUUACUUUGAAAAAAUUAGAGUGCUCAAAGCGUGCUUGUCGCUUGAAUAAUGUUGCAUGGAAUAAUGGAAUAGGACCUCGGUUCUAUUUUGUUGGUUUUCGGAGCUUGAGGUAAUGAUUAAGAGGGACGAACGGGGGCAUUCGUAUUGCGGUGUUAGAGGUGAAAUUCUUGGAUCGCCGCAAGACGGACUACUGCGAAAGCAUUUGCCAAGAACGCUUUCAUUAAUUAAGAACGAAAGUCAGAGGUUCGAAGACGAUCAGACACCGUCCUAGUUCUGACCAUAAACGAUGCCGACCAGCGAUCCGUAGUGGUUGCUUUAUGGACCCUACGGGCAGCCUCCGGGAAACCAAAGUAUUUGGGUUCCGGGGGAAGUAUGGUUGCAAAGCUGAAACUUAAAGGAAUUGACGGAAGGGCACACCAGGAGUGGAGCCUGCGGCUUAAUUUGACCCAACACGGGAAAACUCACCCGGUCCGGACACCGUAAGGAUUGACAGACUGAUAGCUCUUUCUUGAUUCGGUGGAUGGUGGUGCAUGGCCGUUCUUAGUUGGUGGAGUGAUUUGUCUGGUUAAUUCCGAUAACGAACGAGACUCUAGCCUGCUAAGUAGUGUUGCUAUUGUUAUAUGGUUGACACUUCUUAGAGGGACAAGUGGCAUUUAGCCACGCGAAAUUGAGCAAUAACAGGUCUGUGAUGCCCUUAGAUGUCCGGGGCCGCACGCGCGCUACACUGGAGA